rnacentral:misc_RNA from 1 species
GAUGAAGAACGUAGCGAAAUGCGAUACGUAAUGUGAAUUGCAGAAUUCAGUGAAUCAUCGAGUCUUUGAACGCACAUUGCGCCCCCUGGUAUUCCGGGGGGCAUGCCUGUCCGAGCGUCAUUGCUGCCCUCAAGCACGGCUUGUGUGUUGGGCCUCCGUCCUCCUCCCGGGGGACGGGCCCGAAAGGCAGCGGCGGCACCGCGUUCGGUCCUCGAGCGUAUGGGGCUUCGUCACCCGCUCUUGUAGGCCCGGCCGGCGCUUGCCGACACAUCAAUCUUUUUUCCAGGUUGACCUCGGAUCGGGUAGGGAUACCCGCUGAACUUAAGCAUAUCAAUAAGCGGAGGA